rnacentral:rRNA from 1 species
GAUGAACGCUGGCGGCGUGCCUAAUACAUGCAAGUCGAGCGAACAGACGAGGAGCUUUCUCCUCUGACGUUAGCGGCGGACGGGUGAGUAACACGUGGAUAACCUACCUAUAUGACUGGGAUGACUUCGGGAAACCGGAGCUAAUACCGGAGAAUAUAUUGAACCGCAGGGUUCAAUAGUGAAAGACGGUUUUGCUGUCACUUAUAGAUGGAUCCGCGCCGCAUUAGCUAGUUGGUAAGGUAACGGCUUACCAAGGCGACGAUGCGUAGCCGACCUGAGAGGGUGAUCGGCCACACUGGAACUGAGACACGGUCCAGACUCCUACGGGAGGCAGCAGUAGGGAAUCUUCCGCAAUGGGCGAAAGCCUGACGGAGCAACGCCGCGUGAGUGAUGAAGGUCUUCGGAUCGUAAAACUCUGUUAUUAGGGAAGAACAAAUGUGUAAGUAACUAUGCACGUCUUGACGGUACCUAAUCAGAAAGCCCCGGCUAACUACGUG